rnacentral:rRNA from 1 species
GACGAACGCUGGCGGCGUGCUUAACACAUGCAAGUCGUGCGGUAAGGCCCUUUCGGGGGUACACGAGCGGCGAACGGGUGAGUAACACGUGAGCAACCUGCCCUUCACUUUGGGAUAACUGCCGGAAACGGUGGCUAAUACCGGAUAUGACUUUCUCACGCAUGUGGGGUGGUGGAAAGCCUUCGGGCGGUGGGGGGUGGGCUCGAGGUCUAUCCGCUUGUAGGUGGGGUGAUGGCCUACCAAGGCUUCGACGGGUAGCCGGCCUGAGAGGGUGACCGGCCACACUGGGACUGAGACACGGCCCAGACUCCUCCGGGAGGCAGCAGUGGGGAAUAUUGGACACUGGGCGCAAGCCUGAUCCAGCAACGCCGCGUGAGGGAUGACGGCCUUCGGGUUGUAAACCUCUUUCGCCUGCGACGAAGCGAGAGUGACGGUAGCAGGUAAAGAAGCGCCGGCCAACUACGUG